GGUCAAGCUACAAAGGGCCUACGGUGGAUACCUAGGCACACAGAGGCGAUGAAGGACGUGGAUACCGACGAUACGCUUCGGGGAGCUGGAAACAAGCUUUGAUCCGGAGAUUUCCGAAUGGGGCAACCCAGUAACUCUAACGCCAAUCCAUAACGUUAGAGGGCAAACCUGGCGAACUGAAACAUCUUAGUAGCCAGAGGAAAAGAAAGAAAACUCGAUUCCCUUAGUAGCGGCGAGCGAAAGGGGAACAGCCUAAACCAACGGGCUUGCCUGUUGGGGUCGUGGGACAGCAACGUGGAAUUGAGCGGCUAGACGAAGUAGUGGAAUGCUACACCAAAGAAGGUGAAAGUCCUGUAGUCAAAAGCUUAACAAUCCUAGCUGUAUCCCGAGUAGUCCGGAGCACGUGGAAUUCCGGAUGAAUCUGCGAGGACCACCUCGUAAGGCUAAAUACUCCUGUGUGACCGAUAGCGUAUAGUACCGCGAGGGAAAGGUGAAAAGAACCCCGGAAGGGGAGUGAAACAGAACAUGAAACCGUAGGCUUACAAGCAGUCGAAGCUCGAUUUAACGAGUGACGGCGUGCCUGUUGAAGAAUGAGCCGGCGACUUAUAGGUACUGGCAGGUUAAGGCAAAAAUGCCGAAGCCAUAGCGAAAGCGAGUCUGAAUAGGGCGUUUGUCAGUAUUUAUAGACCCGAACCCGGGUGAUCUAACCAUGGCCAGAAUGAAGCUUGGGUAACACCAAGUGAAGGUUCGCACCGACCGAUGUUGAAAAAUCGGCGGAUGAGCUGUGGUUAGGGGUGAAAUGCCAAUCGAACCCGGAGCUAGCUGGUUCUCCCCGAAAUAUGUUGAGGCAUAGCGGGUGUGAUUAUAGCAGGGGGGUAAAGCACUGAUUCGGUGCGGGCUGCGAGAGCGGUACCAAAUCGAGUCAAACUCUGAAUACCCUGUGUACACACAGCCAGUCAGACGGUGGGGGAUAAGCUUCAUCGUCGAGAGGGAAACAGCCCAGACCACCAGCUAAGGUCCCUAAAUCAUCACUAAGUGGUAAAGGAGGUGGGGAUGCUCAGACAACCAGGAGGUUUGCCUAGAAGCAGCCAUCCUUAAAAGAGUGCGUAAUAGCUCACUGGUCAAGCGUUCCUGCGCCGAAAAUGAACGGGACUAAGUGAUGUACCGAAGCUGUGGACUUACUACGUAAGUGGUAGGGGAGCGUUCUGCAUUAGUUUGAAGCACUAGCGUAAGCAGGUGUGGACGAGGCAGAAGUGAGAAUGUCGGCUUGAGUAGCGAAAACAUUGGUGAGAAUCCAAUGCCCCGAAACCCCAAGGGUUCCUUCGGAAGGCUCGUCCGCGAAGGGUUAGUCGGGACCUAAGGCGAGGCCGAAAGGCGUAGUCGAUGGACAACUGGUCAAUAUUCCAGUACUCAUCUUGGUUUGUGCAGAGGGACGGAGAAGGCUAGAUCAGCCGGAUGUUGGUUACCGGUUCAACUGUCCGAGGUGUUGAGGAGCGGUGAAAACGCUCUGAGCUGAGGCAGGAGUACGACCCACUACGGUGGGGAAGUGAUUGAUGUCAUGCUUCCAAGAAAAGCUCUAAGCACGUUAAGCCAAGAUACCCGUACCCGAAACCGACACAGGUGGGGGGGUAGAGUAUACCAAGGGGCGCGAGAUAACUCUCUCUAAGGAACUCGGCAAAAUGGCCCCGUAACUUCGGGAGAAGGGGUGCCACCGAGAGGUGGCCGCAGUGAAGAGGCCCAGGCGACUGUUUACCAAAAACACAGGUCUCCGCUAAGUCGUAAGACGAUGUAUGGGGGCUGACGCCUGCCCAGUGCCGGAAGGUUAAGGAAGCCGGUCAGCGCAAGCGAAGCUGGCGACCGAAGCCCCGGUGAACGGCGGCCGUAACUAUGACCUAGUUGUAGUUACGUAAAUAAAUCUGGCUAUAUGCUGGAACAUCCGGUGUAUCUGCUGCUACUCGCUCCUAAGAUAAAGGAGCAGUGACAAUGCAUGCAGUGCGGACAAUCAGCAGGAAAGGUGCCAAUGACUGCCAAUAUCAAGCAAGUGCCUCCACAAAUAGGUUACUACCUAGCAGGUUUUGCUGACGGCGAAGGAAGCUUUAACGUUUCUUUUCGCCCACGUCCUGACUAUGUUGUACCUUGGAAGGUUACUGCUAGCUUUAAUGUUUCCCAAAAAGACCGUGUCAUCCUUGCUUUGUACAAAAAGCAUUUGGGUUGUGGAACACUUCGUGAGCGCCCUGAUGGGGUGUGGUACUACGAAGUUACCAAUCUGAAUGCGAUAGCUGAAAACGUCAUACCCUUUUUUAACCGGUUUGGCUUUCUUUCAGCUAAGAAAAAGCGGGAUUUCUCCAAAUUUAAGCAAAUUGUAGCUCUGAUGCUGCAAGGCGCUCACCUAACGGAGGACGGUAUCAAAAAAAUCCUCAAGAUUCGUCAACUGAUGAAUGACGGUGGGAAACGGCGAUACACAGAUGAUCAAAUCUUGGCAACCAUUGGCAAAUCCUCAGAGACUAUAUGCCAGACACCACAAAUUCAAGGUGAUGAUAUAGUCCGAUCUUCAUGGCGACAUGAAGGACUAGAGUAAGUUUAGGCAACGCUCUGGUCGCACUCAACAAUAUGUACAACACACUUGGAAGUUGAGUGAAACGUAAAUGAACGGUCCUAAGGUUAACGAACGCUAGCCUUAGUAAAACUGAACCAUAUGCGGGAAAGUCCUCUAACAGCUUUUCACUACUCGUUCAGCGAGGCACCGAACUCGAAAGAGUUUCAAAAAUAUGAGGUGCUGCAGUGCUGUUCAGUCAAAAUGUGAAAGACAUGGGGAUAAUCCGCAGGAAAGACCUAGAGGAAUCUAGGAAUCCUCAGAGACUUGAUGUUCAGGUGCGAUACAUGAAUUUAGAUGCCCAGUGGAUUGUUGGUUUCGUCGAUGGUGAAGGAUGCUUCCAUGUUGGAAUCAAUCCUCACUCACAAAUGGCAACAGGAUUUCAGGUACUUCCUGAAUUUACAGUUGUCCAGCAUCGGCGAGAUGUAAAGGUUCUCUAUGCACUCAAGGCUUAUUUCGAUUGUGGCGUGGUUCGCGUGAAUCACGGCGAUCGCAUGGCCUACAGAGUUCGCAGCAUCGAGCACUUAGCUGAGCGUAUCUGUCCUUUCUUUCUUAAGCAUCCGCUGAAGACAAGUAAAAACAUAGAUUUCCUUAAAUUCAGGGAUGUGGUGCUUCUAUGUCAAUCAGGAGCACAUUUGACAGAUGACGGUCUAGCAAGAAUCCAAAAAGUGGCAUCUCAAAUGAAUCGUGGUCGCACAAGGUAAAGUCCAGCUUUAUCGGAAACGGUAAAGAGCAACUGAGCGAAAUUCCUUGUCGGGUAAGUUCCGACCCGCACGAAAGGCGUAACGAUCUGGGCGCUGUCUCGGAGAGAGGCUCGGCGAAAUAGAAGUGUCUGUGAAGAUGCGGACUACCUGCACCCGGACAGAAAGACCCUAUGAAGCUUUACUGUAGCCUGGAAUUGGGUUCGGGCUUUGCUUGCGCAGGAUAGGUGGGAGACGUUGAAGUAUCCCUUGCGGGGGAUAUGGAGUCGCCAGUGAGAUACCACUCUGGCAAGGCUAGAAUUCUAACCUUCUGCUGUUAGCCAGCGAAGGAACAGUUUCAGGUGGGCAGUUUGACUGGGGCGGUCGCCUCCUAAAUGGUAACGGAGGCGCGCAAAGGUUCCCUCAGGCUGGUCGGAAAUCAGCCGUAGAGUGCAAAGGCAUAAGGGAGCUUGACUGCAAGACCUACAAGUCGAGCAGAGACGAAAGUCGGCCUUAGUGAUCCGACGGUUCCGCGUGGAAGGGCCGUCGCUCAACGGAUAAAAGUUACUCUAGGGAUAACAGGCUGAUCUCCCCCAAGAGUUCACAUCGACGGGGAGGUUUGGCACCUCGAUGUCGGCUCAUCGCAACCUGGGGCGGUAGUACGUCCCAAGGGUUGGGCUGUUCGCCCAUUAAAGCGGUACGUGAGCUGGGUUCAGAACGUAAAUCAUUGCGUCACUUCACAGUAAUGUGGAGCAGCAAACCGACUAAAAUCGGUAGAAUCUUAAUCAGUGACCGAACGGCUGGUUAAGACAAUACCGAGGGUAAGCAAGAGUCUCGUGACGGAUGAUCUGACGCUAAGUUACAUUGCGGGCUUUUUAGAUGCUGAUGGGUGCAUUAACUUGCAACUAGUGCGGCGUAAGGACUAUGUCCUUGGCUAUCAAAUUCGCGCUAGUAUCACCUUCUUUCAGUCCUCUUCUCAUCGAACCUUCUUGGAAUGGUUAAAAUCUGUUUUCCAAGUCGGUUUCGUAAGAGAUCGAAAAGAUGGACUAAGCGAAUAUGCCAUUGUUGAUGCACCGUCGGUUCUCAGGGUACUGUGUACCCUACGCAACUACCUUCGCUUGAAAAAGCCACAGUGUGAUUUAGCAAUUACUGUUCUACAGGAAGUUGUUCCGUCAAGGCGUUUAACGCCGCAGCAAUUCCUAAGCCUUGCUAGGCAAGUAGAUCAAUUUGGUGAGCUGAAUGCUUCAAAAAAGCGUUCUAUUCGCUCCGAUCAAGUAGAACAGUUCUUGAGAUCACGACAACUCUUGAUCCCGUAGAGACUGAAGCCUAGGCUUGAGUUAGCCAUCAAGCGUAAGCUGAGAUGCUCUGAGGUUGUCAGAGACAUCAAACGUCGGCUCCUGAUUCGUUAAUGGCGAGAGUCAGGAUGAAGAUAUAGUCCAUGCUCGUAGUGAUACGAGAGCAACAUGCGUGAGACAGUUCGGUCCAUAUCCGGUGCAGGCGUAGGAGCAUUGAGAGGAGUCCUCCUUAGUACGAGAGGACCGGGAGGAACGCACCUCUGGUGUACCUGUUAUCGUGCCAACGGUAGACGCAGGGUAGCCAUGUGCGGAGUGGAUAACCGCUGAAAGCAUCUAAGUGGGAAGCCCACCUCAAGAUGAGUGCUCCCAUGGCGUAAGCCAGUAAGGUCACGGGUAGAACACCCGUUAAUAGGCUCUCGAUGGAAGUCCAGUAAUGGAUGUAGUCUAGGAGUACUAAUAGACCGAGGGCUUGACCUC
rnacentral:rRNA from 1 species